rnacentral:rRNA from 1 species
AUUGAACGCUGGCGGCAGGCCUAACACAUGCAAGUCGAGCGGAUGAAGGGAGCUUGCUCCUGGAUUCAGCGGCGGACGGGUGAGUAAUGCCUAGGAAUCUGCCUGGUAGUGGGGGAUAACGUCCGGAAACGGGCGCUAAUACCGCAUACGUCCUGAGGGAGAAAGUGGGGGAUCUUCGGACCUCACGCUAUCAGAUGAGCCUAGGUCGGAUUAGCUAGUUGGUGGGGUAAAGGCCUACCAAGGCGACGAUCCGUAACUGGUCUGAGAGGAUGAUCAGUCACACUGGAACUGAGACACGGUCCAGACUCCUACGGGAGGCAGCAGUGGGGAAUAUUGCACAAUGGGCGAAAGCCUGAUCCAGCCAUGCCGCGUGUGUGAAGAAGGUCUUCGGAUUGUAAAGCACUUUAAGUUGGGAGGAAGAGCAGUAAGUUAAUACCUUGCUGUUUUGACGUUACCAACAGAAUAAGCACCGGCUAACUUCGUG